AGCAGCCGCGGUAAUUCCAGCUCCAAUAGCGUAUAUUAAAGUUGUUGUAGUUAAAAAGCUCGUAGUUGAAUUUCGAGAUCAAAUUGUUGGUCGUGCCUUGGUACGCACUGGCAUUAUUGGUUUCUCCCUUCUGACGAACCAUGAUGUCAUUAAUUUGGUGUCUUGGGGAAUCAGGACUGUUACUUUGAAAAAAUUAGAGUGUUUAAAGCAGGCUCACGCUUGAAUACAUUAGCAUGGAAUAAUGAAAUAGGACGUUUGAUUCUAUUUUGUUGGUUUCUAGGAUCGACGUAAUGAUUAAUAGGGUAGUUGGGGGCAUUAGUAUUCAAUUGUCAGAGGUGAAAUUCUUGGAUUUAUUGAAGACUAACUACUGCGAAAGCAUUUGCCAAGGAUGUUUUCAUUAAUCAAGAACGAAAGUUAGGGGAUCGAAGACGAUCGGAUACCGUCGUAGUCUUAACCAUAAACUAUGCCGACUAGGGAUCGGAUGAUGUAAUUUUUAAUGACUCAUUCGGCGCCUUACGGG
rnacentral:rRNA from 1 species